UCUGACACAGGUGCUGCAUGGCUGUCGUCAGGCUCGUGUCGUGAGAUGUUGGGUUAAGUCCGUAACGAGCGCAACCCUUGUCCUUAGUUACCAGCACGUUAUGGUGGGCACUCUAAGGAGACUGCCGGUGACAAACCGGAGGAAGGUGGGGAUGACGUCAAGUCAUCAUGGCCCUUACGGCCUGGGCUACACACGUGCUACAAUGGUCGGUACAAAGGGUUGCCAAGCCGCGAGGUGGAGCUAAUCCCAUAAAACCGAUCGUAGUCCGGAUCGCAGUCUGCAACUCGACUGCGUGAAGUCGGAAUCGCUAGUAAUCGUGAAUCAGAAUGUCACGGUGAAUACGUUCCCGGGCCUU
rnacentral:rRNA from 1 species